GUACACUUCAACUGUGAGAGACGGAAUCUAAAAAAAAAAUCUGGGAAAUCACAUUGUGUGAAUUUUAAAUAAUUAAUUUGUAUGAUAUUGCAUGACAUAAGUAUUUGAUCACCUACCAACCAGUAAGAAUUUGGGCCCUCACAGACCUGUUAGUGUUUCAUUAAGAAGCCCUCCUGUUCUCCACUCAUUACCUGUUUUAACUGCACCUUUUUGAACUCGUUACCUGUAUAAAAGACACCUGUCCACACACUCAAACAGACUCCAACCUCUCCACAAUGGCCAAGACCAGAGAGCUGUGUAAGGACAUCAGGGAUAAAAUGGUAGACCUGCCCAAGUCUGGGAUGGGCUACAGGACAACAGGCAAGCCGCUUGGUGAGAAGGCAACAACUGUUGGCGCAAUUAUUAGAAAAUGGAAGAAGUUCAAGAUGACGGUCAAUCUCCUUCGGUCUGGGGCUCCAUGGAAGAUCUCACCUUACCUAGAAAUACAU